rnacentral:rRNA from 1 species
UGGGGAAUCUUGCACAAUGGGGGAAACCCUGAUGCAGCGACGCCGCGUGAACGAUGAAGCCCUUCGGGGUGUAAAGUUCUUUCGGCAGGAACGAUAAUGACGGUACCUGAAGAAGAAGCUGCGGCUAACUACGUGCCAGCAGCCGCGGUAAUACGUAGGCAGCAAACGUUGUUCGGAGUUACUGGGCGUAAAGAGUACGUAGGCGGUUUGCCAAGUUUGGUGUGAAAUCUCCUGGCUUAACUGGGAGGGUGCGCCGAAUACUGGCAGACUUGAGUAUUGGAGAGGAAAGCGGAAUUCCUGGUGUAGCGGUGAAAUGCGUAGAUAUCAGGAGGAACACCGGUGGUGUAGACGGCUUUCUGGACAAUCACUGACGCUGAGGUACGAAAGCGUGGGUAGCAAACAGGAUUAGAUACCCAGGUAGUCCCUGAGCGGGCUGGCAAGGCGCAU